rnacentral:rRNA from 1 species
CCGCGUGGAGGAUGACUCAUUUCGGUGCGUAAACUCGUUUUAUAUGGGAAGAUAAUGACGGUACCAUAUGAAUAAGCACCGGCUAACUCCGUGCCAGCAGCCGCGGUAAUACGGAGGGUGCAAGCGUUACUCGGAAUCACUGGGCGUAAAAGCGUGUAGGCGGAUAAAU